ACCCCCGAUGCAGCUUCCCAGGGGACCAUGCCCGCUGGGUCCCCUCGCUCACUGUGCCCUCUCCAAGCCAUCCAGAUGCCCGUGGAAGAAGCGCUAUCCACUCUGUACAGAAACAUCCUCUGGGUCCUUAAGACAAACACAGAGCAACACACAGAUGGACCAAGGGAUGGUGGCCAAACCACCACUUACAAUGCAAACGAAGCUUUCGCUUCUCCUGCUGAUCGUUUAUUUCAGGGAUUCCUCUGAGAUAUUGCGGGUUUAGUUCCAGACCACCACAAAAGGAACAAUAAAGUGAGUCGUCCUGUUUUUGCUGGUAGAAGAUCUUGCCUUCAAUUUGUAAAAAAACACAACAUCUGAGAAGUGCAAUGAAGUGAAACUCAAUAAAACGAGGUAUGCCUGUAUUCUGAGAUAAUUAUAAAUGCAAAGAAAGAUGCAAAAAAAAAAAA